rnacentral:hammerhead_ribozyme from 1 species
CCGCGAAACGCCCGGCUCUCGCGAAGAGCCAGGCGUCGUCCGGCGGUGGUGCGCCGGGCCUGAUGAGCAGCCAACC